UACGAAGGGUGCAAACGUUGCUCGGAGUCAUUGGGCGUAAAGCGCACGUAGGCGGCGCAGUAAGUCGGACGUGAAAUCUCUCGGCUCAACCGAGGACGUGCAUCCGAAACUACUGUGCUCGAGUAUGGAAGAGGGUCGCGGAAUUCUCGGUGUAGAGGUGAAAUUCGUAGAUAUCGGGAGGAACACCAGUGGCGAAGGCGGCGACCUGGGCCAAUACUGACGCUGAGGUGCGAAAGCGUGGGGAGCAAACAGG
rnacentral:rRNA from 1 species